rnacentral:rRNA from 1 species
UUGGGCGUAAGCGCGCGCAGGCGGUUUCUUAAGUCUGAUGUGAAAGCCCACGGCUUAACCGUGGAGGGUCAUUGGAAACUGGGAGACUUGAGUGCAGAAGAGGAAAGUGGAAUUCCAAAUGUAGCGGUGAAAUGCGUAGAGAUUUGGAGGAACACCAGUGGCGAAGGCGACUUUCUGGUCUGCAACUGACGCUGAGGCGCGAAAGCAUGGGGAGCAAACAGGAUUAGAUACCCUGGUAGUCCAUGCUGUAAACGAUGAGUGCUAAGUGUUAGGGGGUUUCCGCCCCUUAGUGCUGCAGCUAACGCAUUAAGCACUCCGCCUGGGGAGUACGACCGCAAGGUUGAAACUCAAAGGAAUUGACGGGGGCCCGCACAAGCGGUGGAGCAUGUGGUUUAAUUCGAAGCAACGCGAAGAACCUUACCAGGUCUUGACAUCCCAGUGACCGCUCUAGAGAUAGAGUUUUCCCUUCGGGGACAUUGGUGACAGGUGGUGCAUGGUUGUCGUCAGCUCGUGUCGUGAGAUGUUGGGUUAAGUCCCGCAACGAGCGCAACCCUUGAUCUUAGUUGCCAUCAUUUAGUUGGGCACUCUAAGGUGACUGCCGGUGACAAACCGGAGGAAGGUGGGGAUGAC